rnacentral:rRNA from 1 species
UAGGCUGCAACUCGCCUGCGUGAAGUUGGAAUUGCUAGUAAUCGCGGAUCAGCAUGCCGCGGUGAAUACGUUCCCGGGCCUUGUACACACCGCCCGUCACACCAUGGGAGCCGGUAAUACCCGAAGUCAGUAGUCUAACCGCAAGGGGGGCGCUGCCGAAGGUAGGAUUGGCGACUGGGGUGAAGUCGUAACAAGGUAAC